CACAAAGAUACAUUUUCAGCCUCAUAACUAUAUACAUGAAAUGAUAACCUAUAACAUCACUAUAACAACAAUGCUCAGUACAUCAUGAGCCUUCCGAAGACACCCGACAUGACAAACUUUACAUUGGAUACCACAUAAUCAUUUUAUGAAGAUGAACAUGGGGGCGU